GAUGAACGCUGGCGGCGUGCUUAACACAUGCAAGUCGAACGGUGAAGCAGAGCUUGCUCUGUGGAUCAGUGGCGAACGGGUGAGUAACACGUGAGCAACCUGCCCUGGACUCUGGGAUAAGCGCUGGAAACGGCGUCUAAUACUGGAUACGAGACGUGGCCGCAUGGUCAACGUUUGGAAAGAUUUUUUGGUUCAGGAUGGGCUCGCGGCCUAUCAGCUUGUUGGUGAGGUAAUGGCUCACCAAGGCGUCGACGGGUAGCCGGCCUGAGAGGGUGACCGGCCACCCUGGGACUGAGACACGGCCCAGACUCCUACGGGAGACAGCAGUGGGGAAUAUUGCACAACGGGCGAAAGCCUGAUGCAGCAACGCCGCGUGAGGGAUGACGGCCUUCGGGUUGUAAACCUCUUUCAGCAGGGACGAAGCGAAAGUGACGGUACCUGCAGAAGAAGCACCGGCCAACUACGUGCCAGCAGCCGCCGUAAUAC
rnacentral:rRNA from 1 species